GAAAACCCACAGCAAGACGGGCUUGGCAGGCCAGGGGCUACAAAUACAGGAAACCACUCCCGAUCUCUCCUCCCACUUCCUCUUCUGCCCCUCCAACCUCUCCUCUUCCUCUGGUCUCUGGACAACCAAGCCAGAGAGGAGCAGCCAGCGACAACCUCCUCUCCUCUCCUCCCCUCUUAUUCCGCGCCCAGCAGCGAGGCAUGGUGGAGAAGGCGAGGACCAUGGCGCGCAGGCUGGAGAUCCCCCAGUGGAAGGCCGACGGCCUGCCGUCGCCGACGAGCCCGCUGGACCGCGCGUCGGCGUCGCCCCGUGGGUGGCGCCACCGCGACGCCGUAGGAGGAGGCGUGGGGCUCGGGAUCCUGGCGGCGCUCGAGGCCGAGGGCCCGCCGCAGCCCGCGCCGAGGGUGUCCAUCCCGCGGCGCGCGGCGCGGCUGGAGGUGUCGGAGCUCGGGUGCAGCGGGCGCUGCGCCACCAGCCUGUGCGGCGGCGUCGGCCCGGCCCCCGCCCGGCCCGGCGGCGGCGCGGCGUUCCGCGUCGCGGAGUUCCUGUCGUGCUGCGACAUGUGCCGGCGGGCGCUGGACGGGAGGGACAUCUUCAUGUACCGCGGGGAGAAAGCCUUCUGCAGCAUGGAGUGCCGGUACCACGCCAUGGUGAGCGACGAGUUCCAGCAGGAGAAGGAGCGCAAGCGCCGCGCCGCCGUGUCCCGGACUUCGGCCGCGGAGAUGGCCGGGUCGCCGUGCAGCGGCGGCGGCGGCGGCGGGCAGAUCUUCUUCACCACCGGCAUCGUCGCCGCCUGAUGGGCGGGCGGGCGGGCGGAUACGGAUCCGUCUUCUCUGGUCUAGUGAUACAAAACAAAAGAAAAAAUAUCCAGCUAGAGGAACCGGCGGCCGCUGUAACAUAAACCUGACAAGAAAAAAAAACCAAGAGGAGAAAUAAGGACGGAUGGGUGCGUGCGUUUGUGUAGAGCAGAGAAAUGGGCGCGGGGGAAUUUUGCUCGUCCUCUCCUCUUCUUCGGUAGAGGAGGAACCGAGGCAGGGAGGGUUUAUUUCAUCUGUGGAUUUUUUUUUUGUAUUAUUAUUAGUAAAUUAUAGUAGUACCACUAUUAUCACGACGAUGAUGGGCGGGAUGAGAUGUUCUGUAGCAGCAGGGAAGGGGGAGGGGGGAUGAUGUGACAAGUUUUCCAAGGAUUGUUGCUUCCCUUUUGUUUCUCCUCUAGUCCUCUGCUCUGCCCAAGGGAAUAAAACUCCUCGCUUGUUC
rnacentral:misc_RNA from 1 species